AUUAUUCCGUAAUCAUGAGCCACUGUAUAAGAUUCAAAUAAAAAACUCUGUUCUUAUCAGCUUAACAUCUGAUACACCUCACAUCGUGGGGUUAAACUAAUUUUUUCAAAUUGGUGGAGAAUUUGGGGCUUGCUCCUACUGCACCGCGGGUUGACCCGGUAUUGCAGUACCACCGGGAACGGCCCAAAUAAA